CCCCCCCCCCCCCCCCCAUAGGCCCGCCUGACGUGCCCGUGCUGCAACGCGCGCAAGAAGGACGCGGUGCUGACCAAAUGCUUCCACGUCUUCUGCUUCGAGUGCGUCAAGAGCCGCUACGACACCCGCCAGAGGAAGUGCCCCAAAUGCAACGCCGCCUUCGGGGCCCACGACUUCCACCGCGUCUACAUCAGCUGAGCCCCGCGACCCGAACCGCCCCAGAACCCCCCCUUAACCCCCCCAUAACCCCCCCAUAACCACCCCAUAACCCCCCAUAACCCCCCCUUAAGUGACCCACGAGUUGGGGUGGGGGGACGAAGGGGGACCCAUAACCCCCCCAUAACCCCCCCAUAACCCCUCCAUAACCCCCCCCCUGUGAAGCGACCCACGAGUCGGGGUGGGGGUACGAAGGGGGACCCAUAACCCCCACAUAUCCCCCCCAUAACCCCAUAACCCCCCCCCUUAACGACCCACGAGUCGGGGUGGGGGGAUGAAGGGGGACCCAUAACCCCCCCACAACCCCCCCAUAACCCCAUAACCCCCCCAUGAAGCGACCCACGAGUUGGGGUGGGGGGACGAAGGGGGACCCAUAACCCCCCCAUAACCCCCCCCCUUAACGACCCACGAGUUGGGAUGGGGGGAUGAAGGGGGACCCAUAACCCCCCCAUAACCCCCCCAUAACCCCAUAACCCCCCCCUUAAGCGACCCAGGAGUUGGGGUGGGGGGAUGAAGGGGGACCCAUAACCCCCCCGUAACCCUCCCCCAUUACACGACCCACAAGUUGGGAUGGGGGGACGAAGGGGGACCCAUAACCCCCCAUAACCCCAUAACCCCCCCCAUGAAGCGACCCACAAGUUGGGAUGGGGGGAUGAUGGGGGGGUGGGAGAUGAUGGGGGGUGGGGGAUUGGGGGGGGGGAUUGGUUGGGUUGAGGCAAUGGGGGAAGGCCAUAGGGAUCCCUGCUUGUCCCCAUAGCUGCCCCAUAGCUGCCCCAUGGGUGCCCCAUGGCCAACGUUGGGUCAACCCAAUGGGGGAAGGCCAUCAGUCCCAUUGUUUAUCUGUUAAGGAGAGCCCAUAGCAGCCCCUGGUUGUCUUUGAGGUGUCCCCAUAGCACCCAUAGCUGCCCCAUGGCCCUCGUUGGGUCUUGGGUUGGGUUGAGGCAAUGGGGGAAGGCCAUCAGUCCUAUUGUUUGUGUGUUGAUGGAACCCCAUAGUGAUCCCUGGUUGUCCCCAUAGCUGCCCCAUAGCUGCCCUAUAGCAUCUCUCUGUGCCCCAUAGCUGCCCCAUGGCCAACGUUGGGUCAACCCAAUGGGGGAAGGCCAUCAAUCCUAUUGUUUGUGUGUUGAUGAAACCCCAUAGCAACCCCUGGUUGUCCCCAUAGCUGCCCCAUAGCAUCUCUCUGUGCCCCAUAGCAUCCCUGUGUGCCCCACAGCUGCCCCAUGGCCAAUGUUGGGUCGAGUCAAUGGGGGAAGGCCAUCAGUCCUAUUGUUUGUGUGUUGAUGAAACCCCCAUAGCGACCCCUGGUUGUCCCCAUAGCACCCAUGGGUGCCCCCUAGUGCCCCUGUGUGCCCCAUAGCACCCCUGUGUGCCCCACAGGAGCCCCCCCCCCCCCCACCCCCCCCCCAAUAAAGUGCUUUAAUCCGUUUC
rnacentral:lncRNA from 1 species